UUGACGGGGCCCGCACAAGCGGAGGAACAUGUGGUUAAUUCGAUGAUACGCGAGGAACCUUACCUGGGCUUAAAUGUAGAGUGCAUUUUUUAGAGAUAGAAAUUCCCUUCGGGGCUUUCUGCAAGGUGCUGCAUGGUUGUCGUCAGCUCGUGCCGUGAGGUGUCGGGUUAAGUCCCAUAACGAGCGCAACCCUUAUCGUUAGUUGCCAGCUGGUAAAGCAGGGGACUCUAGCGAAACUGCCACCGUAAGGUGAGAGGAAGGUGGGGAUGACGUCAAAUCAGCACGGCCCUUAUGUCCAGGGCUACACACGUGUUACAAUGGCCGGCACAGAGGGCAGCUACCUGGUGACAGGAUGCUAAUCUCGAAAACCGGUCUCAGUUCGGAUCGAAGUCUGCAACUCGACUUCGUGAAGCUGGAUUCGCUAGUAAUCGCGCAUCAGCCAUGGCGCGGUGAAUACGUUCCCGGGCCUU
rnacentral:rRNA from 1 species